AACGAACGCUGGCGGCAGGCCUAACACAUGCAAGUCGAGCGAGGACUUCGUCCUAGCGUCGGACGGGUGAGUAACGCGUGGGAACGUGCCCUUUGCUUCGGAAUAGCCCUGGGAAACUGGGAGUAAUACCGGAUGAGCCCUUUGGGGGAAAGAUUUUUCGGCUAAGGAGCGGCCCGCGUUGGAUUAGGGAGGUGGUGGGGUAAUGGCCGACCAAUCCGCCGAUCCAUGGCUGGGUUGAGAGGCUGAUCAUCCACACUGGGACUGAGACACGGCCCAGACUCCUACGGGAGGGAGCAGUGGGGAAUAUUAGACAAUGGGGGAAAACCUGAUCUAGCCAUGCCGGGUGAGCGAUGAAGGCCUUAGGGUUGUAAAGCUCUUUGAGCUGGGAAGAUAAUGACGGUAACAGCAGAAGAAGCACCGGCUAACUCCGUG
rnacentral:rRNA from 1 species